GCUGGCGGUAGGCUUAACACAUGCAAGUCGUGCGAGAAAGUAUCUUCGGAUAUGAGUAGAGCGGCGGACGGGUGAGUAACGCGUAGGAAUCUACCUAGUAAAAGGGGAUAGCCCGGGGAAACCCGGAUUAAUACCGUAUACCUCCUUCGGGAGAAAGAAGGCCUCUCUUUGAAGCUUUCGCUACUAGAUGAGCCUGCGUAAGAUUAGCUAGUUGGUGAGGUAAUGGCUCACCAAGGCUACGAUCUUUAGCUGGUCUGAGAGGACGAUCAGCCACAUUGGGACUGAGACACGGCCCAGACUCCUACGGGAGGCAGCAGUGGGGAAUAUUGGACAAUGGGCGCAAGCCUGAUCCAGCCAUACCGCGUGUGUGAAGAAGGCCUUCGGGUUGUAAAGCACUUUAAGCAGGGAGAAAAAGUUAUAGGUUAAUACCCUAUGACCUUGAUGUUACCUGCAGAAUAAGCACCGGCUAAUUCCGUGCCAGCAGCCGCGGUAAUACGGAAGGUGCAAGCGUUAAUCGGAAUUACUGGGCGUAAAGCGCGCGUAGGUGGUUUGUUAAGUUGGAUGUGAAAGCCCUGGGCUCAACCUAGGAACUGCAUCCAAAACUAACUCACUAGAGUACGAUAGAGGGAGGUAGAAUUCAUAGUGUAGCGGUGGAAUGCGUAGAUAUUAUGAAGAAUACCAGUGGCGAAGGCGGCCUCCUGGAUCUGUACUGACACUGAGGUGCGAAAGCGUGGGUAGCGAACAGGAUUAGAUACCCUGGUAGUCCACGCCGUAAACGAUGACAACUAGCUGUUGGGAGACUAUGUCUUUCAGUGGCGCAGCUAACGCUUUAAGUU
rnacentral:rRNA from 1 species